rnacentral:rRNA from 1 species
GAUGAACGCUGGCGGCGUGCUUAACACAUGCAAGUCGAACGGAAAGGCCCAAGCUUGCUUGGGUACUCGAGUGGCGAACGGGUGAGUAACACGUGGGUGAUCUGCCCUGCACUUCGGGAUAAGCCUGGGAAACUGGGUCUAAUACCGGAUAGGACCACUUCUUGGAUGUUGUGGUGGAAAGUUUUUUCGGUGUGGGAUGAGCUCGCGGCCUAUCAGCUUGUUGGUGGGGUAAUGGCCUACCAAGGCGUCGACGGGUAGCCGGCCUGAGAGGGUGUACGGCCACAUUGGGACUGAGAUACGGCCCAGGCUCCUACGGGAGGCAGCAGUGGGGAAGAUUGCACAAUGGGCGCAAGCCUGAUGCAGCGACGCCGCGUGGGGGAUGACGGCCUUCGGGUUGUAAACUCCUUUCGCUAGGGACGAAGCGUUUUGUGACGGUACCUGGAGAAGAAGCACCGGCUAACUACGUG